CCUACGGGGGGCUGCAGUGGGGAAUAUUGGACAAUGGGCGAAAGCCUGAUCCAGUCAUGCCGCGUGUGUGAAGAAGGCCUUCGGGUUGUAAAGCACUUUCAGUGGGGAAGAAAGCCUUGGGGCUAAUACCCUCGAGGAAGGACAUCACCCACAGAAGAAGCACCGGCUAACUCCGUGCCAGCAGCCGCGGUAAUACGGAGGGUGCGAGCGUUAAUCGGAAUUACUGGGCGUAAAGCGCGCGUAGGCGGUCUGAUAAGCCGGUUGUGAAAGCCCCGGGCUCAACCUGGGAACGGCAUCCGGAACUGUCAGGAUAGAGUGCAGGAGAGGAAGGUAGAAUUCCCGGUGUAGCGGUGAAAUGCGUAGAGAUCGGGAGGAAUACCAGUGGCGAAGGCGGCCUUCUGGACUGACACUGACGCUGAGGUGCGAAAGCGUGGGUAGCAAACAGGAUUAGAUACCCGGGUAGUC
rnacentral:rRNA from 1 species